rnacentral:rRNA from 1 species
UACGUAGGGGGCAAGCGUUGUCCGGAUUUACUGGGCGUAAAGCGCGCGUAGGUGGAGCGAUCAGUCCGGUCUGAAAGCCCCCGGCUCAACCGGGGAGGGUCAUUGGAAACUGGGAGACUUGAGUGCAGAAGAGAAGAGUGGAAUUCCACGUGUAGCGGUGAAAUGCGUAGAGAUGUGGAGGAACACCAGUGGCGAAGGCGACUCUUUGGUCUGUAACUGACGCUGAGGCGCGAAAGCGUGGGGAGCAAACAGG